UACGAAGGGGGCUAGCGUUGUUCGGAUUUACUGGGCGUAAAGCGCACGUAGGCGGAUAUUUAAGUCAGGGGUGAAAUCCCGGGGCUCAACCCCGGAACUGCCUCUGAUACUGGAUAUCUCGAGUCCGGAAGAGGUGAGUGGAAUUCCGAGUGUAGAGGUGAAAUUCGUAGAUAUUGGGAAGAACACCGGUGGCGAAGGCGGCACUCUGGACCGAGACUGACGCUGAGGCGCGAAAGCGUGGGGAGCAAACAGG
rnacentral:rRNA from 1 species